GGAGUCGGUGUUGUAUGGGCACACUGCACGGAUUCAGGGUCAGGCUGCCGUUUGCACCCAUGUGCACUGAGCAGAAGUUCGAGAUGGCGAAGACAUGGUGGAAGAGAGUGGACUGACAUUUCAUGGGAAGAACAGUCAAUGCCAAGGAAGAUGGUGGGACCAAAGGAGCCACAAGUAUUGAUUUUAUUUGUUCAACUUGACAAGACUCCAAGCUUAUAAAUGUGGGGAGCCACAGUCAUUGACCUAGAGCUAAUGGUCUGACCCAGGUCAGCGCUGGGGACAAAGAGCCUGGGUGACGCAGGCCAGGAUUCAGCCUCACUGGCAAGAAGCAGCCCAGAAAAUGGAUCUGAAGGAACAGCAGAGAAGAACGCACCCAGCCAGUGGCUUA